rnacentral:rRNA from 1 species
CGCCUGGGGAGUACGGCCGCAAGGUUAAAACUCAAAUGAAUUGACGGGGGCCCGCACAAGCGGUGGAGCAUGUGGUUUAAUUCGACGCAACGCGAAGAACCUUACCUGGCCUUGACAUCCAGAGAACUUUCCAGAGAUGGAUUGGUGCCUUCGGGAACUCUGAGACAGGUGCUGCAUGGCCGUCGUCAGCUCGUGUCGUGAGAUGUUGGGUUAAGUCCCGUAACGAGCGCAACCCCUAUCCCUGGUUGCUAGCAGGUAAUGCUGAGAACUCCAGGGAGACUGCCGGUGACAAACCGGAGGAAGGUGGGGAUGACGUCAGGUCAUCAUGGCCCUUACGGCCAGGGCUACACACGUGCUACAAUGGCGCGUACAGAGGGCUGCCAACUCGCGAGAGUGAGCCAAUCCCUUAAAACGCGUCGUAGUCCGGAUCGGAGUCUGCAACUCGACUCCGUGAAGUCGGAAUCGCUAGUAAUCGCGAAUCAGAAUGUCGCGGUGAAUACGUUCCCGGGCCUUGUACACACCGCCCGUCACACCAUGGGAGUGGAUUGCACCAGAAGUAGUUAGUCUAACCUUCGGGAGGACGAUUACCACGGUGCGGUUCAUGACUGGGGUGAAGUCGUAACAAGGUAACCGUA